rfam:Lactobacillus nodensis DSM 19682 = JCM 14932 = NBRC 107160 strain DSM 19682 NODE_3, whole genome shotgun sequence.
UGAUCAGUAGUUCAGUUGGUAGAACGCUUGACUGUUAAUCAUGAGGUCGCUGGUUCGAACCCAGCCUGGUCAG